rnacentral:rRNA from 1 species
UACGUAGGGGGCGAGCGUUGUCCGGAUUUAUUGGGCGUAAAGAGCGUGUAGGCGGCCAGGUAGGUCUGCUGUGAAAACUCGAGGCUCAACCUCGAGACGUCGGCGGAAACCAUCUGGCCAGAGUCCGGAAGAGGAGAGUGGAAUUCCUGGUGUAGCGGUGAAAUGCGCAGAUAUCAGGAAGAACACCCGUGGCGAAGGCGGCUCUCUGGGACGGUACUGACGCUGAGACGCGAAAGCGUGGGAGCGAACAGG